rnacentral:rRNA from 1 species
UACGUAGGGGGCGAGCGUUGCCCGGAGUUACUGGGCGUAAAGCGCACGCAGGCGGUCUGCUAAGUUUGGAGUGACAGUUGGUGGCUUAACUGCCAAAGUGCUUCGAAAACUGACAGACUUGAGGGCUUCAGAGGGACACGGAAUUCCGGGUGGAGUGGUGAAAUGCGUAGAGAUCCGGAGGAACACCAAAGGCGAAGGCAGUGUCCUGGGGAGUACCUGACGCUCAGGUGCGAAAGCCAGGGGAGCGAACGGG